AUUGUGUAAAUAUAGCAAGUGUGGAUUCUCAUAGUAGAGGUUGUAAUGAAACCUACAUAAUGUGAAUGAAUGAGAAAUCCCAGUCAAGGGAAAUUACACAACUUACACAUUGGAUUGUUGUUUGGAACAUUCUAAACCUUGUAUCUAAUUAGGUUUAUCAAAUUUUCUUCCCUUCUCAAAGAAGAAGAUAAAUAUGUUGCCAACAAAGUAAUCCUUACUUUUGAGGAAGUUAUACUAUCAUGGAAUUAAGGAGCAGGGUCGGCCAAUGGCCUGUGCAAACAGACCAUCAGCACAGGGCCCCGAAAUUUUGAGGGCCCAAUUCCCAAAUAUUACAGCCCAACUUUUAAAAAAAAUAAAAAAAUUCUUCCAGUUCUUUGUCUUCAUUCUUCAAUCUCGGUGUGUAAACUGCAAACAUGAAACAAACCACGUUCUUCUCUAACUUCCCCUAAUUUCUCUUUCCAAUUUUCAGAAAUUUGUUAUCUUUUAAAAAUCUUCUAAAUUCUUAAUUUCUCAAUUUCUCUUAACAACUUCUUAAAAUUCUCUCACUCAUUCCUUAUCAACCGUUACCUAGAAUAUGAAAAUAUCAAUUAUGAUUUCUCCAUUCAAUCUUCAAUUAACGGCUUAUUUUUUCACUCUUUAUAUAUUUUUAACUCAUUUAUAUUUUUUCAUUAAUUAUCAAUUAGUUCUCAGACAAAAAAAAUCGAAAUUCAUACCUUCAAAUUUUUGUUAAUUUUUGAUUUCUGGAAAUUUGGAGAGGCAGAAGAAACCAGAUUCGUGAAGUCGAAUCGUGAUCCGUGAAGAACUGAAUAUCUUAUGUUUCUAAAUAUUCGUGAAAUUUGCGGUCGAAGUGAAGAACAGAAGAUUCGUGAAAUUUGCGGUCGACCGUCGAAGUCGAACUUCGAAGAAAUUAAAAUAGAGAGAUGAAAGUAUGAGACAGUAACUCAUGGACAUUUGCUUCAUAUGAACUUGAAGAAGACGAUUAGUACUGUACAGCUGUACUAGUCUACUAGAUGUGGCUCCCCUCUAAAAUAAAAAAAAAAAAUUCUACUAGAUGUGGCACAGUGGCAGCACCGCAUCAGGUAUGAGUGUAUGACCAUAUGAAUUGUUACUCACUUAGUGCCUUAGUGGCUUUAUAGUUUUAUAUUUUCAGUAUAUGUUCUUUGUACUAGGAGUAGUAUUAUAUGUUUUAGUAGGUAAAAUUUUGUGUAGUUUUCAGUUAUGUUCUUUGUACUAGAAGUAAUGUUUUAUAAUUUUAAGGAUUAAUGGUAUUGUGUAUAUUUUAA